AAUUUUAUUUGAAACCCGCGUCGCAGUGGCCGAAAAAUGGCUCGUGAGCUGAACAUAUCGCAAUAUUCCAUUCGGCAAAUAUUGAAAAAUGAGCUCGGGGUAAAGCCAUUGAAAUUCCAAAAAGUGCAAGAACUUACACCGCAACAGAAAGAAAAACCAGACUCAAAAGAGCUAAAGAGUUGCUUCGCUUGGAUGAAAGUGGUGAACUGUCGAAUUUGGUUUUCUCCGAUGAGAAAAAAUUCGUUGUACAGCAGUUUGUAAACAAAGAAAA